rnacentral:misc_RNA from 1 species
AAAAUAAAUAAAUAAAUAAAGCAAAAGACAAAAAGUACGAUAAUUCAAUUCAGAAACAGAGUCCAAAUAUGGCCAUACGACUUUUUUCCAAACCGAUCAAUAUGAUAAUUUAAGCAAGAAAAUGCUUUCUAAGCACAAUCAAACAAUGCAAUAUAGAAACGUAAGGCUCAUCUCUCCUUAGAACACAUCAAACACAUUACACCAUGGCGAUAACAUUGACAUAUUGGUUCAGCAAUAAUUUGAUAUUCAAAUUACUACAUAAAUACUUUGAAAAAAAAAUGAAAAGUAUAACAACAAACGGGUACUUCCCUAUUGCCAUCCAAAUUGACAGUUAUGAACUCAUUUCACAAAGCAGCUUCUAUCUGCUUACCUUCAGUUUUCAGGUUGAAAGGGUAAAAAUAAAUAUCUCUUUGAUGAAGUUAAAGUUGGUCAUUCUUUUAGUUGCUACUUAAAACACUAAUCUACCAGCAAAGUAAUAUUAAGGAUAGUAUUGAAUCACCCAAAACAAAAUUAGAAACUAAAUGUAGCCAUUAAUUUGCACAUAAAAUACAACCCUAUAGGCAAAACAUUGACUCUCGCUCAAUUCAUCACGAAUGAAGCUAAGUGGGUUAUCAAAUUAGCAUGGAGCUGCUGAAGAAAAAUCAGAAGAGAGAGAAAUCACUAAACGUGUGAGAGAGUAGA